GACGAACGCUGGCGGCGUGCUUAACACAUGCAAGUCGAACGAUGAAGAAAAGAAUUGAAGCUUCGGCAGAAAUUCAUUUCGAUUUGUGGGAAACGGGGGAGUAAACCCUUAGCCACCCUACCUCUUCAAAGGGAUAGCCCUCGGAAACCGGGGUUAAUUCCCUAUUAACUUUCCACCAAGCCAUUCCAUUCCAUUAAAGCUUCGGCGGUAAGAGAUUGGCUCGCGUCCCAUUAACCAGAUGGUGAGGUAACGGCUCACCAUAGUAACGAUGGGUAACCGGCCUGAGAGGGUGAACGGUCACACUGGAACUGAGACACGGUCCAGACUCCUACGGGAGGCAGCAGUGGGGAAUAUUGCACAAUGGAGGGAACUCUGAUGCAGCGACGCCGCGUGAGUGAUGAAGGAAUUCGUUUCGUAAAACUCUGUUCUAUGGGAAGAAAAGGACUGUACCAUAGGAGAAAGCUCCGGCUAAAUACGUG
rnacentral:rRNA from 1 species